rnacentral:rRNA from 1 species
UUGGUGGCGGGCAGCCUGCGGGCGGUGAUCAGCAAUGACUCCGCCCGUUGUGUCGGCUUGCCUCCCGGCCGCACUUUCCCCGCGGUUGACGGCAGGAACUGUUGGGACCGGACCUAAGGCUCGGGAUGAAGUUGCCGGCCCUCACGGGCUUGUAGCUCCCGGUGUCCUGGCUUCGGGCCCGACAGGUUACGAGCGGACUUGUAUAGCAAGCGACAGCCUGUUGCGGUUCGCCUCUCUCUG